GAUGAAGAACGCAGCGAAAUGCGAUACUUGGUGUGAAUUGCAGAAUCCCGUGAACCAUCGAGUCUUUGAACGCAAGUUGCGCCCGAAGCCAUUAGGCCGAGGGCACGCCUGCCUGGGCGUCACACGUCGUUGCCCCCCCAUCUACUCCUUCGGGAUUGCGGGGGGCGGAUGAUGGCCUCCCGUGCGCCUCGUCGCGCGGUUGGCCUAAAUGCCAAGUCCUCGGCGACGCACGCCACGACAAUCGGUGGUUGCGAAACCUCGGUUGCCUGUCGUGUGCGGCCGUCGCGCAUCGAGGGCUCGAAAAAAUUGCCGGGCUUCGGCUCGACUUUCAACGCGACCCCAGGUCAGGCGGGGUUACCCGCUGAAUUUAAGCAUAUCAAUAAGCGGAGGA
rnacentral:misc_RNA from 1 species